CCACACUGCUGAAGACUACUCAGUCAGCAAGACAUCAUGGAGAAUCCUCUCUUCAUAAGCUGGGCACGAAAGACGCUUCGCUUCACACACACGCGGGCACCUGCCUGAUAAAAGGGCGACCUCGGAACACUCGGCACUGCCCCUCUGGCCUGCACCUGCGCAGCUGUGAGUUGCCAGGAAGUGAGGCUCCCAGCCGAGCCCACGGUGGACCGGUGCACAAGGCAGCUGUGCAUGCGAACUGAGACUUCGGGCAGAGAGGCUGGAAACAGGGCUUGGACAGGCGUCAGCUUACGGUGGUGUUGAGAGCUGGGGUGCUGAGUGGGGAAUAGAAAAGAAUGCCCCAGCCACGCCACGAAAUGAAGCCAGGCUCCUGCCGUAUUUCCAAAACAGUCUGCGCAUUGUCUCCAAACGGACCUUGAUUAGGCGCGAGAGCGUGUCUGUGCCUCUGCUUGGGGUGUGUGUUUGCCAGUGGGGCACGGAGACGUGUGGCCCUCCAGGAGGGGCUGGCCUUCAAGACUGUGUGCUCUGCGGGUUGCCCUGACCAUCAGUCACGCCGGCGUCAACAGCACAGAUGGAGGAGCCGUCCCCGCCCGGUCUCAGGGCAGGCGACUGCACUUAGGAUUUUCAUUCACAUCAGAAGUGGGACUCAGAGAAGGAAGGGCCUUCUCAAAGACUGUAAGAACAAGGGACGUCAUCCAGAGUUUGCUACCAGAAGAGGCAACAAGGGAAAAUGAUGGUUCUGUGCU